rnacentral:rRNA from 1 species
CUAUCGCUUACAGAUGGGCCCGCGGUGCAUUAGCUAGUUGGUAGGGUAAUGGCCUACCAAGGCAACGAUGCAUAGCCGACCUGAGAGGGUGAUCGGCCACACUGGGACUGAGACACGGCCCAGACUCCUACGGGAGGCAGCAGUAGGGAAUCUUCCGCAAUGGACGAAAGUCUGACGGAGCAACGCCGCGUGUAUGAAGAAGGUUUUCGGAUCGUAAAGUACUGUUGUUAGAGAAGAACAAGGAUAAGAGUAACUGCUUGUCCCUUGACGGUAUCUAACCAGAAAGCCACGGCUAACUACGUGCCAGCAGCCGCGGUAAUACGUAGGUGGCAAGCGUUGUCCGGAUUUAUUGGGCGUAAAGCGCGCGCAGGCGGUCUUUUAAGUCUGAUGUGAAAGCCCCCGGC